CCCUGGUGGCUCAGUUGGUAAAGAAUCUGCCUGCAAUGCAGAAGACCUGGGUUCGAUCCCUGGAUCAGGAA
rnacentral:tRNA from 1 species